rnacentral:lncRNA from 1 species
GAGGACCUCGCAGACAUGGCUGCCAAAAUCAGUGAACGAUGACACACUUCAGGCGAUAACAGGUUGAUUCAUCCAUACUUCAAAACUGCUGGAAGUAAUCAGAUGAUUCUUCGUGCUACAGUAAUUUUAUCUAAUUAAGAUCUAGAAGAAAUGGAUAUUGAUUUGUAGAUGAAACCAAUUGGAGAGUAUUCACAAUGAGAAUAUGGUUGUUUU